rnacentral:sRNA from 1 species
CGGGCAGGAGCUGCGGGCAGAUCAGGUGCACGUGGCAGUCGAUCGCGCCGGCGGUGAGGAUUCGCCCGUUGCCGGCGAUGAUCUCGGUCGACGGCCCGACCACCAGGUCCUCGUGCACGCCGGUCAUGAUGUCGGGGUUGCCCGCCUUCCCGAUGGCGACGAUCCGGCCGUCGCGAAUGCCGAUGUCGGCCUUGACGAUUCCCCAAUAGUCGACGAUCACGGCGCCGGUGAUCACCGUGUCGGGCGCUCCUUCGGCCCGGCUCGCGCGUCCCUGCCCCAUCGACUCGCGCAG